CUACGGGGGGCUGCAGUGGGGAAUAUUGCACAAUGGAGGAAACUCUGAUGCAGCAACGCCGCGUGGAGGAUGACACUUUUCGGAGCGUAAACUCCUUUUAUAUAGGAAGAAGAUGUCGGUACUAUAUGAAUAAGCGCCGGCAACUCCGUGCCAGCAGCCGCGGUAAUACGGAGGGCGCAAGCGUUACUCGGAAUCACUGGGCGUAAAGAGCGUGUAGGCGGAUUAAAAAGUCAGAAGUGAAAUCCUAUAGCUUAACUAUAGAACUGCUUCUGAAACUCUUAAUCUAGAAUAUGGGAGAGGUAGAUGGAAUUUCUGGUGUAGGGGUAAAAUCCGUAGAGAUCAGAAGGAAUACCGAUUGCGAAGGCGAUCUACUAGAACAUUAUUGACGCUGAGACGCGAAAGCGUGGGGAGCAAACAGGAUUAGAUACCCGUGUAGUC
rnacentral:rRNA from 1 species